UGAUGUGUCACCAAGCAACACCGUGUUUGUCUUAUUUUGUAACGGCGAAUUGUGACACACGGUCAUGAGUGUGAGGACUUUGAAGGCCAGAAUGGAGAUUUGUUUUAUUUAGUUAAAUGGACUUCCUUUUAUGUGCAUUUUAAUUUGGACAAUUAAGAAGAUUUUAAAUUCUAACUGCAGGAGGAGAAAUGUUUUUUGGAGGCAGUUACGCUUCUGAUUCCCGCAAACACGUCUAAGAACACGUGGUGUUGUAUAAGGUUAUGACAGCUCGACAUGUACCACAAGUGGAAAAUUCAUCUAUAUUUCCCCAAUAUGGAUACCUAAAGAGUUAGUCAAGUGUUGAAGGAUUUAAAAGACAAUGUGUUGUAACCGAACAUCGCAAGUGUGAACGUGUCGGGAAGUGUUAGUAACGGUCGCGCAGUCGUGCGCUUCUCCAAAUGUGAACACAUGCUCAUCAAACAUAAGUGAAACAACGGAAAUACCUUCCUGAUUUAAAUGGUGCAAGCAUGGAGGCGAAUACAAUUUUUUAGACGGACGUUGUGUGUGUUCGGACGCAUAUUAUGGUAGAAGAUGUAAUUUUCACUGCCGAUUGAACUAUGUUCGAGCUGUAGGAUACAAAUGGCGGAGGACUUGUUUAUCGAAGGCAAUGAAGGCAAACUGCAGGAGGAUGUGUGGUUUAUGCAAAGGAUCCAGUUGCAGGAACAAGAACUGGAAUUAUUGUAGGCGCAUGAUCAAGAAUAUACCUGGUAAAGCAAAAAAGCUGUUGUGUAAAGCAGCGAGAGGCAACUGCCCGAAUGAAUGCCACUAGAAUAAAAAAACAUCUGAAAUGAUAUUUACAAAAAUAUCAGAGAGAUCAAAAUUGAAAAAUGGAAUAUCAUCGAUUUCAACUAAAAGUUUUAAUUAUUGUAAUGUCUAUAAUAUUGGCACGUUAAAAUAAAACAAUCUC